GGGGAUUAGUGGCGAACGGGUGAGUAACACGUGGGCAAUCUGCCCUGCACUCUGGGACAAGCCCUGGAAACGGGGUCUAAUACCGGAUACUGACCCGCUUGGGCAUCCAAGCGGUUCGAAAGCUCCGGCGGUGCAGGAUGAGCCCGCGGCCUAUCAGCUUGUUGGUGAGGUAAUGGCUCACCAAGGCGACGACGGGUAGCCGGCCUGAGAGGGCGACCGGCCACACUGGGACUGAGACACGGCCCAGACUCCUACGGGAGGCAGCAGUGGGGAAUAUUGCACAAUGGGCGAAAGCCUGAUGCAGCGACGCCGCGUGAGGGAUGACGGCCUUCGGGUUGUAAACCUCUUUCAGCAGGGAAGAAGCGAAAGUGACGGUACCUGCAGAAGAAGCGCCGGCUAACUACGUGCCAGCAGCCGCGGUAAUACGUAGGGCGCGAGCGUUGUCCGGAAUUAUUGGGCGUAAAGAGCUCGUAGGCGGCUUGUCACGUCGGUUGUGAAAGCCCGGGGCUUAACCCCGGGUCUGCAGUCGAUACGGGCAGGCUAGAGUUCGGUAGGGGAGAUCGGAAUUCCUGGUGUAGCGGUGAAAUGCGCAGAUAUCAGGAGGAACACCGGUGGCGAAGGCGGAUCUCUGGGCCGAUACUGACGCUGAGGAGCGAAAGCGUGGGGAGCGAACAGGAUUAGAUACCCUGGUAGUCCACGCCGUAAACGGUGGGCACUAGGUGUGGGCGACAUUCCACGUCGUCCGUGCCGCAGCUAACGCAUUAAGUGCCCCGCCUGGGGAGUACGGCCGCAAGGCUAAAACUCA
rnacentral:rRNA from 1 species